CCCGCCAUUCCCAGAGUAAAGACGUAACUGCAGAUAACGGGGUAACUGCGCAGACCAGCCUUACUGCGGAUAACUGCAGAUACCUGGAUAACAGCGCAGGCGGACCAUACUGCGGAUAACCACCGGUAACUGCACCGGCCAGCUGUACCAUGGAUAACCCGGUAACUUCGUAGGCUGGCCGUGCUACGGAUAACCAGGUAACUGCGCAAGCUGGCCGUGCCACGGAGGCUGGCCGUAAAGCGUAUAAUCUGGUAACUGCAGGCUGGCAGUACCAUGGAUAACCAACCCAGUAACUACGCAGGCCUAUUGUGCCACCGAUAAUCGGGUAACUACACAGGCUGGCCAUACUGCGGAUGACUGGAUAUCUGGGUAACUGAGCCGGCGGGUUGUAUCGCAGAUAACCGGAUGACCGGGUAACUGCGCAGACAGGCCAUACAGCGGAUAACUGGAUAAUCGGGUAACUGCGCAGGCUGGCCGCACCACAGAUAACUGGAUAACCGGGUAAUAGCGCAGGCUGACCGCAUCACGGAUAACUGGAUAACCGGGUAACUGCGCAAGCAGGCUGUACCGUGGAUAACCAGGUAACUGCGCAGCUGGCCGCACCACGGAUAACUGGAUAAACGGGUAACUGCGCAGGCAGGCUGUAAAGCAGAUAACCAGGCAACUGCGCAGGUCAGCCUUACGUGCCGCGGAUAACCGGGCAACUGCGCAGGCCAGCCUUACGUACUGCGGAUAACCGGGCAACUGCGUAGGCAGCUAGCGCAGCCCACAUUCCAACGCAAACACUGGACUUUGACUGCGCAUGCGCACAUGCAAGUACUGGUUGCUGCACUGCGCAAACACACCCGUGACUCAGCUGGUUCAAUUCUCUGGGCUGGUAAAAAGGAAAGUCAGCUGGGCUGGAUGGUGCCGUCCAGUAGUCACUGUUCAGGAACGUAACGAACAUUAAACAGCAGAACAACUUAGCAGUGGGCGACACUUUCAAUACAGCAUCGGAAAGAGAGGUUAUCGCGAGAUCCAGGAAGGGGCCCCGCGCUCAGAGGUAAAAUGGCAUCACAGCAGACCGCGUUUCCUGAGAAACUCAGCAGAAAACAAUACAAGGCUGCAAUGAAGAAGGAGAAACGCAAGAAACGUCGGCAGAAAAUGGCUCGCUUGAGAGCUCUGGAAGCCCCACCAGAGGUGGAGGAGGAGGAUGUUUCUGCCAAUGAAGAACUUGCAGAGAGAUUACUGGAGAUAGAGAGGCAAAAAUUACAUGAAGAGUGGCUGCUGAGGGAGGAGAAGGCACAAGAAGAAUUCAGAAUAAAGAAGAAAAAGGAGGAGGCUGCUAGAAAACAGAAGGAAGAACAGGAGAGACAAAUAAAGGCUGAAUGGGAAGAACAACAGAAAAAACAGAGAGAGGAGGAGGAGCAGAAGCUACAGGAGAAGAAAGAGAGAGAGGAAGCGGUGCAGAAAAUGCUGGACCAGGCUGAAAAUGAAGGCACUUGGCAGAACCCAGAACCACCCAAAGAUUUAAGGCUGGAGAAAUAUCGACCCAGUUGUCCCUUCUACAAUAAGACGGGAGCCUGCAGAUUUGGUAACAGGUGUUCACGGAAGCAUGACUUUCCCACGUCAAGUCCCACACUUCUUGUGAAGAGUAUGUUUACGACGUUUGGAAUGGAGCAGUGCAGAAGGGAUGACUACGACUCUGACGCAAACCUGGAGUACAGUGAGGAGGAGACCUACCAGCAGUUUUUGGAUUUCUACCACGACGUGCUGCCCGAGUUCAAGAACGUGGGAAAGGUGAUUCAGUUCAAAGUAAGCUGCAAUCUGGAACCUCAUUUGCGGGGCAAUGUGUAUGUUCAGUACCAGUCGGAAGAGGAAUGCCAAGCAGCCCUCUCUCUCUUUAAUGGAAGAUGGUACGCAGGACGACAGCUGCAGUGUGAAUUCUGUCCAGUGACCCGGUGGAAGGUUGCGAUUUGCGGUUUGUUCGAAAUGCAAAAGUGUCCGAAAGGAAAGCACUGCAACUUCCUCCAUGUGUUCAGAAACCCCAACAACGAGUUCAGAGACGCGAACAGGGACAUCUACCUGCCUCCGGCGAGCACUGGCUCCUCUGGUAAAAACUCAGACCGGGGGGACAGGAAGGAUCACCGAGAGGAAAGCUACAGCAAGUCAAGAAGCCACCACUCUGGCUCAUACCACUCCUCCAAGAGAAGCAGGGAGUCGGAGAGGAAGAGUCCUCACAGGUGGAAGAAAUCUCACAAACAGGCCACGAAGAGUCAUGAGCGGCACAGCUCAAGAAGAGGAAGAGAAGAGGGCAGCAGUCCAGGUCCGCAAAGCCAGAGCCACAGAACCUGAGCCCGGCUGAGGCGACACCACUUGGACCCGGGAUACAAAACUUCCUUACAGAAUAAAAACGUAACGCAGUAUUCUGAUUCCCCCAAGAUAUCCAAAGGAAACUGAUUACAAAGGAAAGGCAUGGUAACUCAGUCUAAUUCCCAAGGUACAAACGCUUGUGGCUUUAACAGAGACAGAACCAGGUAUUACUCUUUGUCUGUUAAAAUGCUUACAGUGCUGUUACAAUGCUUAGUAUCAUGUUAUUGGUGUUGUUUUCCACAGUUUAAGCUGGCUUCCCAUGUUUUCCUGUGAUAAGUUUACAUUGUGAUGCUUUAUCAUUAAUAUAUUUAUUAACAUCGUUUUUAUAUUGCUUGAGUUGGACAAAAUUCCCAAAUACAUAUCUCUGUUCUACAAAAAAGAACAUAUAGGAUUACAGAAACAGCAGUUUCCUCUCUUUUUAUAGACAGGCUCUCAACUGUGUAGCCCUGGCUGGCUUAUCAGCUGCUGGGGUCACAGAAAUGUACCACCUCCCAAAUCCAAUGGUAACUUUGUUACCUCAUGUUUGUGUGUGUGUAUGUGUGUGUGUGUGUGUCUGCAUCUGUGAACAUGUGUACACAAGUAUGGUAACCUCUGAGCCAUCUUUCCAGCUCAUAUUUUAAAUCCUAGAUCUCAUAAAUCUUGAGAACAAGUUAGUGAAAAUUUUAGGUUCUCUACCAAGCAACCAAUUUAAAGUAAUUUACACAUAUUAUUUCCAAAUACCAAUAUUGUAAAUUUAAGAAUAAAUGUUUAAGGUAAGAGAUAUCUCUAUGUAAAUGUUUAGAUUUGAAAUACUUUAGGCUCUUAACAUCAAAUACUAUCUGUCACAGCCUCUGUAACUAUAUUGCCAACAACUGCUAAAGAUAGGAAGCAGAUGAUGACCGUGCUCCCAUGUUGUGACAAAGCUUUAUCCAAUCACGGACAGGGAGGAAUGUCGCUGGGCUGCAGAGCACUUGCCAGCAUUCCUGGGCGCAGUUAAAGACCCAGGAAUAGCAAACAAUAAAACCAGUAAGGAUGGGAAUGAAUACAGUGAGGAAUGGAAUGGGAGCACUGGGCCAGCCCAGCCCUGCAGCCAGAUGCCCGCCUCUCACUGCAGGUUACAUUUCUGUUCUCCCUCACAUCGCCCAAGCUAGCUCUAAACUCCUGUCUGAGAUUCCCAACAGCUGGGACACAGGCAUAUGCCACUGUGCCCAACCUUUUCAAUGCAACUGGCACAUUUAAGCACUGCCCAUUUAUUCAAAUGUUUUACAAAUCUUUACUGAGUGCCUAUCACAUGCUGGAAAGAAGUAUUAAGGGUAGGAAAAUAAUAACGUUGGCCUUUUUUACAAAUGAACAAGCUAGUAAGUACAGUACCAAAAUUCAGGUAGUAUUAAUUCUUCAAAGCAAAUUACAAAUGUGAGCUCAAAGAAUUAUAUAAGAAGUAGACAGUAUGCUGUGACUGGUGGGGCAUACCUUGGGGGGAUCUCUAAAUCUGUGGCCAGUUUGAUCUCAUAGUGAGUCCCCAGCACAUAGUGAUAAUCCAUUUCAAAAACCAGUAAAUAGAGGCUGGAGAGACGGCUCAGUGCUUAAGAGCACUAGCUACACGUACUGUGACUACUUUAUGAAUUUUACAACUCCUUGGGCACUACCCAGAAAUCAAAACUGGAGUGGGGCAGCAGAACAGUCCACUGGAUAAAGAUGCAUGUGCCAAGUCUGAGGACGUGGGUUUGGUCCCCGAGCCUACACGGGAGAAGGAGAGAGCUGACUCCAUAAUCCUGACGUCCACAUGCACACCAUGGUGUACUAGUGUUAGUCAAUGAAUGGGCUGCUUCACGUAUCCAUGAACAGUUUAACAGGCAAUAGAGUGCCGAUGUCCCAAACAAGGAAAGUGAAGGACUCCGCUGUCCAUAGAAGAGAGCAUUCAGUACAAAUGUCAGAAAGACAUAGCAUUUGGAAACAAUGUGAAAGUUAGGAACCUGAAACGCCCUGCACAACAAAUUGCCAGGUAGUUGGCGAUCAGAAAACCGGUACACCUGGGCUUGGGCUUGGGCUUAGCUCAGCACUGCGACCUUACCCAGUGAGCACUAGAUCCUGGGUGUGCUCCUCGAGAUAUCAAAACCAGGAGCCUGUUAAUGGAAAGACCCACUGUAUCCUCUAGGAGGUCCACAUCGUCCCCUCACGUUCGUCCUCUGGCCUUUGUAUCUCCCUUUUCCAUUUCUAUGCAGAACAUGAUUUUCUAGGUGACAACACAGUCUACUACCGCCCACGUGUAAGUGUGUAGCCUGUGUCAAAGCAGGAGUGCUAGAGGAAUAAAGGCUCACACGCAUUCCUUACUAUGUCCCUCUCACUGUGAUCAAGUUGGAUGGUUCACCAUUCCGUGUGUGUGUGUGUGUGUGUGUGUGUGUGUGUGUGAAUGUGUAUGCAUGCACACAUUCACACAUUCACACUGUGACUGUAGGAGCUUGUCUGUGCCAGUGUACAUACAGAAGUCAGAACAACCUCUGGUGUUUGUCCUUACCUUCUACUGAAUUUGAGAUGGGGUUUGUCUUUCCACUGUAUAUGCCAGGCUAGCUGGCCCUAAACUUCUAGAAUUUUCCUAUUUCCACCUCCCAUCUCCUCACAGAAGUGUGUACAAACUGCAGACACACUAUAUGAUCAAUUUUUUGUUUUUUUUUAAUUUAUUUUAUGGGGCUGAAGAGAUGGCUCAGUGGUUAACAGCACUGGCUGCUCUUCCAGAGGUUCUGAGUUCAAUUCCCAGCAACCACAUGGUGGCUCACAACCAUCUGUAAUGGGAUCUGAUGCCGUCUUCUGGUGUGUAUUAAGAGUACUCAUACACAUAAAAUAAAUACAUCUUUUGUAAAAA